rnacentral:rRNA from 1 species
UUGGAGGGCAAGUCUGGUGCCAGCAGCCGCGGUAAUUCCAGCUCCAAUAGCGUAUAUUAAAGUUGUUGCAGUUAAAAAGCUCGUAGUUGAAUUUCGGGAUUAGUACGUCGGUCGUGCCUUAGGUACGUACUGGUGUUACUGGUUCCUACCUUCUGACGAACCAUCAUGUCAUUAAUUUGGUGUGGUGGGGAAUCAGGACUGUUACUUUGAAAAAAUUGAGUGUUUAAAGCAGGCUCGCGCUUGAAUACAUUAGCAUGGAAUAAUGAAAAUAGGUACG